CCGAACCGACUAAUGUUGAAAAAUUAGCGGAUGACCUGUGGCUGGGGGUGAAAGGCCAAUCAAACCGGGAGAUAGCUGGUUCUCCCCGAAAGCUAUUUAGGUAGCGCCUCGUGAAUUCAUCUCCGGGGGUAGAGCACUGUUUCGGCUAGGGGGCCAUCCCGGCUUACCAACCCGAUGCAAACUGCGAAUACCGGAGAAUGUUAUCACGGGAGACACACGGCGGGUGCUAACGUCCGUCGUGAAGAGGGAAACAACCCAGACCGCCAGCUAAGGUCCCAAAGUCAUGGUUAAGUGGGAAACGAUGUGGGAAGGCCCAGACAGCCAGGAUGUUGGCUUAGAAGCAGCCAUCAUUUAAAGAAAGCGUAAUAGCUCACUGGUCGAGUCGGCCUGCGCGGAAGAUGUAACGGGGCUAAACCAUGCACCGAAGCUGCGGCAGCGACACUGUGUGUUGUUGGGUAGGGGA
rnacentral:rRNA from 2 species